UACCUCGAACGGGUUCCGCCCUGUGGGUGUGGCGGUAACUGUCCGUCGGUUAGUUACAAUCCCGUGGUAGAUGUGGUCGUAGCCGCACCUCGAACGGACUUCGCCCCGAACCAGCUGUGAUGGUAGGUGCGCCUCGAACCGGGAUCCUCCCGAACCAGAUGUUACGGCAGCUACGCCUCGUGCGGGUUCCGCCCUCUGUAGAUGUGGUUGUGUCUCGAGCGGGUUCCGCUCACAUGGAAGAUGUGACGGUGACUCCGCCUCGAGUUAGAGAUGUGAAAACGACUGUGCUUCGGACAGGUUCCGGUGGAACGUACCAAAGUACGAUUAGUACGCAACGGCGAACAACUCCGUCGUUGUAGCAGUUGUAGAUGGGGUUGAAGUUGUAGCUGUGUGUAGUAGUUGUAGGAGGAUCGUGGCCGCUCCCCUUCGACAUGUGGUGGCUGUACAGAAAAGGACUACUUCGUUAGGUAUAGAACGGUCCGUGGCUGCUCCGCUUCCGUUCAGUAGGUCAGAUUGUGGCUGUUCCGCCUGUGGUGGUCCGGCCCGUGGCUGCUCCGCUUCCGGCGGGUGAAGUAGUAGCCUGUUAGCUGUUCUGCCUCCCUAUACCUAUUCGUACCGGCCUCGUUGCCCGCUGAACAGCCUCCCGCCGUGUUACACAGUUCAACGUCCACCUCGCCGAGGAUGUGGGUGGUACGUGCUGUGGUUAUGGGUACGCAGGGAUUGUUGUGGAUAUUGUCGGGCUGUUGGUUACCAGAUGUGGCUGUACGUGCUACCCGCGGUCUUCCGGUGCGGACGCGAGUGUAUCCACCUCAUCUAAACAGAGGCGUUGGGGCAGAAGGUUGUUGUUACUUCGUACCCCCGUUGCAGUUGGGGAGUUAAUAGGCAUUCCGGCUACCGUAGGGCCGCGUGGUGGUCUUAACAGUGUGGUACCUACAGCCGAUGUGUAUGUCGGUGUAGGCGGUAGUCGUUGAGUUAGUACGUAAUCGCGGUUAAGCUAGUCUUUGUUCUCGUGUUAUGGGGGUAGAGACAAGAUGCGAGUUAACCUUAUAACCCAGUCGUGGUCGUAGAUCACUCGUGAAGUAGUAUGGUCCAUCCUGCGACAAGUAACGACGGUAGUUGAACCUUACCUGUAGUUGUAAACUCUUAACGGUCUUACCGACGAGACACUACAGACUAAGAUUCUCCGCUUGUCCAAUGACACCACAAAGGGCCUAAAACGACGGUGAUCUCACGGAACAGGCUUUUGUGCGGGCGUGCACCACAACGCCGUAGUGGUAGGUACGACGAACGGAAGGUAGAGGAGUCGGUGGCGGCGGCGGGGAGAGGAGGCAGGAGGUGGUCUUUUAGCAGUUAAGGAGAGCGUGAGGGUACUAGUCGCCGCUUCCGCUACCUAAGCUGCGGGGGACACAGGGAGUCGAAGUGGUAGUCGGUUUUAGACCUACGCGGGGUAGAAAUUAGUAGCACGUGAGGAGCGGGGGAACGUUCGGAUAAAAUUAUUCCGGUAGCGUAGACAACCAACUAGUCCUCCUCCGGUCGUAGGUUGUUCUAUACCACGAUGUUUUAGUCGUUUAGUCACUCGAUCGCAGGUUGUCUCCUGUACAAAGAGUUUUUUUCUACAUAGUAUGCCCGCGCCGUUGCGCGCGGAAGUUCCUAGAUCACACAUAUAUAUAACGAAGACGAGCGGUGGGGGAUAACGAACACCAGCAUGCAGCAACCUGAAAAAUGUAUUUUCAGGAACGUAAAAAUACAUUAAGCUGGGCGGCAGGAGGACAUUCAGUUGGGCUUGGCCAUGUCCGGCUCCCUUUUCUUUUUUUUUGCGUCCUGCUGGAAUAGAGGGCGUAGAGGUGGAGGUCCGCGGCGGUGGGGGAAGGUGCGGUGCGGUGCGCGGCGGGGGCGGCCGGUGGCGGGGAGGCGGCGCGCAGCGGGGGCGGCCGGUGGCGAGGAGGCGGUACGCGGCGGGGGAGGCCGGUGGAGGGGAGGCGGCACGCGGCGGUGGUGGGGACGCCGAAAGGUGGUGGCUCUUGUGAGCUGCGGCUGCGGCGUGGAAGGGGGUUGAGGAGAGAGAGGAGGAAACGGCGUGGCGAGAAGUAGUGGGCCGGUUGAGGCAGCUUUGCCCGUCCGCCACGACCUCAAGCGGCCUUGCCCGGCCGCUCGCCAUUCUCGGCGCCGCCGCCGCGCUUUUGACUGCCUAAGUCCGCGCCGUAGCUGCCUAGACCACUGACCACGCCGUCGAACGAUCUACCGCCGCCGACCACGGGAUGAGUAGGUCUCUUUCUCUCUCUGUCCCGCGUCCCGCCGCACAAGGACAACUCCGCGGCCGCACGCCAACGGCCGUUCCCAUCGUGUAGAGCGACCUCGUGUGCAACAAGAACCGGUCUCCGGAGCCUAGCUGGCCGACCCGAGCCGCGACGACUCGUUGCUGCCACCGCCCCCCAGUUCCCCUAGCAACUCCUGCGGUCGUUCUUGGAGAAGUUUGAUGCGCAUUAAGGACAUGGUAACCGAAAUAGCCAAUAAACAUGCUCUGAGUGGGAGAAACACAGCUCCUUUCUCGGCCUUCCUCUUAAAACCACGAUGACGGAUAGUAGGUAUCGUAGAGGAGAAAAAUGGUGGUCGGUGGUGAUGGUGUUACUAGGUAAUGGAAGAACGCAUAGCAGUAGAUACGUCUUGUACGGUUGUUCGAGACAGCUGCACCGACGGCGGUAGUACGAAGAGUCCUCUUCUCAUGGGUCCCGACUCCUCUGUUCACGACCUCUCCCACCCUACGUAGUCCUACUCUCCCUUCUUUCAAGAUCUCCUAACGUAAGACCACGAUACCAGCACUGGCUUCUACGAUCGCCGUUUUCGUUAACGCUGUAUCUCCCAUCGGUCCGACUCUUGGUACAACGAUCUCCAAGACAACGGCCUCAUCAUUCCCACUGCCCUCUCGCGUUCAGUCAGGUCCUGUACACAUAUCCCUACCUAAACUCAUUGUUUAGUGUACUUGAGUUAUUUUGAAUGUCAUAAGAGUAGACCUAGUUACUUUAAGUCCCUACAUCACACGGUGAUUAAACGCCUACCUCGAGCAGCGGCCGAGCUCUUUUUCUACGAGGAACAACGCGGAAAUCCUUUAUGACCUCUUCCUCCUAUCGCCGUCCUCUGUCUCCAUUACAGUUACUACGCUACCGAGUUUUAUCAAAGUUGUUACCUCUUCUUCAAGUUACCUGCGUGCUGACAAACGACGGUGUGUAGUAGGGCGGCGCGACACGUUGGCUUGUUUGGCUCCGUUAGCUCGGCUGAGGUACGGCAACAAACCACUCCGCGACAAUGGCAGCCGUACCUUCAGGAGCAAGGGCCUAGUUAGCCAUGGUUGCACUUCCGGCGACCUCUCCGUGGCCGCGAGAGCGGAGAAACUAGGGACUUAGGCGAGCUAAGCCGGCGAGGAGUGGAGGCCAACUAGGUUAGGUCGCGGAGCGUAGCCCGUGUGAUGGCCGGCGAGGAGACACGCGGAGUUUAACCCUGACCUACCUGUGUGUGUGCUGGCGAGGAGAUCUAGGAAGCACCUACUUGGGGAAACCGCUUAUC
rnacentral:rRNA from 1 species